rnacentral:rRNA from 1 species
UGGGGAAUUUGGACAAUGGGCGAAAGCCUGAUCCAGCAAUGCCGCGUGUGUGAAGAAGGCCUUCGGGUUGUAAAGCACUUUUGUCCGGAAAGAAAUCCUUGGCUCUAAUACAGUCGGGGGAUGACGGUACCGGAAGAAUAAGCACCGGCUAACUACGUGCCAGCAGCCGCGGUAAUACGUAGGGUGCAAGCGUUAAUCGGAAUUACUGGGCGUAAAGCGUGCGCAGGCGGUUUGCUAAGACCGAUGUGAAAUCCCCGGGGCUCAACCUGGGAACUGCAUUGGUGACUGGCAGGCUAGAGUAUGGCAGAGGGGGGUAGAAUUCCACGUGUAGCAGUGAAAUGCGUAGAGAUGUGGAGGAAUACCGAUGGCGAAGGCAGCCCCCUGGGCCAAUACUGACGCUCAUGCACGAAAGCGUGGGGAGCAAACAGGAUUAGAUACCCUGGUAGUCCACGCCCUAAACGAUGUCAACUAGUUGUUGGGGACUUCAUUUUCCUUAGUAACGUAGCUAACGCGUGAAGUUGACCGCCUGGGGAGUACGGUCG